rnacentral:lncRNA from 1 species
UUUUUUUAAAAUGUGCUUUGAAAAUUUUGGAAUUAAAAUGUACCACUCAGUGUUUAUUAAGCAACUAGGUCUUCGGGGCUACUUCAGCUAUCGUUUCUUGCUAGGUUGAAUGACAUAUUUUGGUACACUCUUUUCUGGUAAUUGAAUGUUUUUUUGGGUUAAAAGAAUAGUCCAAAAAGUAGAAAAAUAUGUAUUAACCUUACUUAAUCUUAUCUUUUUUUUUUUUUGAAACACACUUAAUCUUAUCUAAAUAUAUCUGUUUAGAUUAAUAACAAUGUACUGUGCGGUAUAGAGUAUACCGUUUUUAUAAUUAUUGUUUUUUAUCGUUUUUCCGUCCGUUUUGAUAAUUAUUAAUCAUAAAAGC